rnacentral:rRNA from 1 species
ACGUAGGGAGCGAGCGUUGUCCGGAAUUACUGGGUGUAAAGGGAGCGUAGGCGGGAGAUCAAGUCAGAUGUGAAAACUAUGGGCUCAACCCAUAACCUGCAUUUGAAACUGUUCUUCUUGAGUGAAGUAGAGGCAGGCGGAAUUCCGAGUGUAGCGGUGAAAUGCGUAGAUAUUCGGAGGAACACCAGUGGCGAAGGCGGCCUGCUGGGCUUUUACUGACGCUGAGGCUCGAAAGCAUGGGGAGCAAACAG